GACGAACGCUGGCGGCGCGCCUAACACAUGCAAGUCGAACGAGCGAGAGAGAGCUUGCUUUCUCAAGCGAGUGGCGAACGGGUGAGUAACGCGUGAGGAACCUGCCUCAAAGAGGGGGACAACAGUUGGAAACGACUGCUAAUACCGCAUAAGCCCACAGGUCGGCAUCGACCAGAGGGAAAAGGAGCAAUCCGCUUUGAGAUGGCCUCGCGUCCGAUUAGCUAGUUGGUGAGGUAAUGGCCCACCAAGGCGACGAUCGGUAGCCGGACUGAGAGGUUGAACGGCCACAUUGGGACUGAGACACGGCCCAGACUCCUACGGGAGGCAGCAGUGGGGAAUAUUGCACAAUGGGGGAAACCCUGAUGCAGCGACGCCGCGUGGAGGAAGAAGGUCUUCGGAUUGUAAACUCCUGUUGUUGAGGAAGAUAAUGACGGUACUCAACAAGGAAGUGACGGCUAACUACGUGCCAGCAGCCGCGGUAAAACGUAGGUCACAAGCGUUGUCCGGAAUUACUGGGUGUAAAGGGAGCGCAGGCGGGAAGACAAGUUGGAAGUGAAAUCUAUGGGCUCAACCCAUAAACUGCUUUCAAAACUGUUUUUCUUGAGUAGUGCAGAGGUAGGCGGAAUUCCCGGUGUAGCGGUGGAAUGCGUAGAUAUCGGGAGGAACACCAGUGGCGAAGGCGGCCUACUGGGCACCAACUGACGCUGAGGCUCGAAAGUGUGGGUAGCAAACAGGAUUAGAUACCCUGGUAGUCCACACCGUAAACGACG
rnacentral:rRNA from 1 species